UGGUUCUGGCAUCGAUGAAGAACGCAGCGAAAUGCGAUAAGUAAUGUGAAUUGCAGAAUUCAGUGAAUCAUCGAAUCUUUGAACGCACAUUGCGCCCGCCAGCAUUCUGGCGGGCAUGCCUGUUCGAGCGUCAUUUCAACCCUCAAGCUCUGCUUGGUGUUGGGGCUCUACGGUUGACGUAGGCCCUCAAAGGUAGUGGCGGACCCUCCCGGAGCCUCCUUUGCGUAGUAACAUUUCGUCUCGCACUGGGAUCCGGAGGGACUCUUGCCGUAAAACCCCCCAAUUUUUCAAGGUUGACCUCGGAUCAGGUAGGAAUACCCGCUGA
rnacentral:misc_RNA from 1 species